UACGUAGGGUGCGAGCGUUAAUCGGAAUUACUGGGCGUAAAGCGUGCGCAGGCGGUUAUUUAAGACAGAUUUGAAAUCCCCGGGCUCAACCGGGGACCUGCAUUUGAGACUGUAUAGCUAGAGUACGGUAGAGGGGGGUGGAAUUCCGCGUGUAGCAGUGAAAUGCGUAGAUAUGCGGAGGAACACCGAUGGCGAAGGCAAUCCCCUGGACCUGUACUGACGCUCAUGCACGAGAGCGUGGGGAGCAAACAGGAUUAGAUCCCCUGGUAGUCCACGCCCUAAACGAUGUCAACUGGUUGUUGGGUCUUCACUGACUCAGUAACGAAGCUAACGCGUGAAGUUGACCGCCUGGGGAGUACGGCCGCAAGGUUG
rnacentral:rRNA from 1 species